GCCCCAGGAGGAAGGGGGGACUGUUAGCAGCAUAGGAUUGAGGAGUUGGAAGAGACCUUUAGAACAGCUGGUCAUUAUGCCGACCGGGUGCCUGCACUAAGUUCGGCAUCAGUGUGUUGACCUCCUGUGAGCAGGGGGCCACCAAGUUGCCUAAGGAUGGCUGAACUGGCCCAGGUCAGAAAGAGAGCAGGUCAGAACUCCCA
rnacentral:sRNA from 1 species